rnacentral:rRNA from 1 species
GACGAACGCUGGCGGCGUGCUUAACACAUGCAAGUCGAGCGAGAUCCAUCCAGUGGCAACACUGGUGAAGAUCUAGCGGCGAACGGGUGAGUAACACGUGAGCAACCUGCCCCGAAGACCGGGAUAACAGCGGGAAACCGCUGCUAAUACCGGAUGCCCUCACCGGGCCGCAUGACCUGGUGAGGAAAUGGCUGAGUCUUAAUAAACUCAGUCCGCUUCGGGAGGGGCUCGCGGGCUAUCAGCUUGUUGGUGAGGUAACGGCUCACCAAGGCUACGACGGCUAGCUGGUCUGAGAGGACGACCAGCCACACUGGGACUGAGACACGGCCCAGACUCCUACGGGAGGCAGCAGUGGGAAUCUUGCGCAAUGGGCGAAAGCCUGACGCAGCAACGCCGCGUGGGGA